rnacentral:rRNA from 1 species
GAUGAACGCUGGCGGCGUGCUUAACACAUGCAAGUCGAACGAAGCACUUUGAUCGAUUUCUUCGGAUUGAAAUUUUAGUGACUGAGUGGCGGACGGGUGAGUAACGCGUGGGUAACCUGCCUCACACAGGGGGAUAACAGUUGGAAACGACUGCUAAUACCGCAUAAGCGCACGGUAUCGCAUGAUACAGUGUGAAAAACUCCGGUGGUAUAAGAUGGACCCGCGUCUGAUUAGCUUGUUGGUGAGGUAACGGCCCACCAAGGCGACGAUCAGUAGCCGGCCUGAGAGGGUGAACGGCCACAUUGGGACUGAGACACGGCCCAAACUCCUACGGGAGGCAGCAGUGGGGAAUAUUGCACAAUGGGGGAAACCCUGAUGCAGCGACGCCGCGUGAGUGAUGAAGUAUUUCGGUAUGUAAAACUCUAUCAGCAGGGAAGAUAAUGACGGUACCUGACUAAGAAGCACCGGCUAAAUACGUGCCAGCAGCCGACGG